rnacentral:rRNA from 1 species
UACGUAGGGACCAAGCGUUGUUCGGAUUUACUGGGCGUAAAGGGCGCGUAGGCGGCAAUUCAAGUCAUCUGUGAAAUCUCCGGGCUUAACUCGGAACAGUCAGGUGAAACUGCUUUGCUAGAGUGCGGAAGGGGCAAUCGGAAUUCUCGGUGUAGCGGUGAAAUGCGUAGAUAUCGAGAGGAACACCUGAGGUGAAGACGGGUUGCUGGGCCGACACUGACGCUGAAGCGCGAAAGCCAGGGGAGCAAACGGG